GAUGAACGCUGGCGGCGUGCUUAACACAUGCAAGUCGAACGGAAAGGCCUCUGCUUGCAGGGGUACUCGAGUGGCGAACGGGUGAGUAACACGUGGGUGAUCUGCCCUGCACUUCGGGAUAAGCCUGGGAAACUGGGUCUAAUACCGGAUAGGACAAUGGUUUGGAUGCUGUUGUGGAAAGUUUUUCGGUGUGGGAUGAGCUCGCGGCCUAUCAGCUUGUUGGUGGGGUAAUGGCCUACCAGGGCGUCGACGGGUAGCCGGCCUGAGAGGGUGUACGGCCACAUUGGGACUGAGAUACGGCCCAGACUCCUACGGGAGGCAGCAGUGGGGAAUAUUGCACAAUGGGCGCAAGCCUGAUGCAGCGACGCCGCGUGGGGGAUGACGGCCUUCGGGUUGUAAACUCCUUUCGCUAGGGGCGAAGCGUUUUUGUGACGGUACCUGGAGAAGAAGCACCGGCUAACUACGUGCCAGCAGCCGCGGUAAUACGUAGGGUGCGAGCGUUGUCCGGAAUUACUGGGCGUAAAGAGCUCGUAGGUGGUUUGUCGCGUCGUUUGUGUAAGCCCGCAGCUUAACUGCGGGACUGCAGGCGAUACGGGCAUAACUUGAGUGCUGUAGGGGAGACUGGAAUUCCUGGUGUAGCGGUGGAAUGCGCAGAUAUCAGGAGGAACACCGAUGGCGAAGGCAGGUCUCUGGGCAGUAACUGACGCUGAGGAGCGAAAGCAUGGGUAGCGAACAGGAUUAGAUACCCUGGUAGUCCAUGCCGUAAACGGUGGGCGCUAGGUGUGAGUCCCCUCCACGGGGUUCGUGCCGUAGCUAACGCAUUAAGCGCCCCGCCUGGGGAGUACGGCCGCAAGGCUAAAACUCAAAGGAAUUGACGGGGGCCCGCACAAGCGGCGGAGCAUGUGGAUUAAUUCGAUGCAACGCGAAGAACCUUACCUGGGCUUGACAUACACCAGACCGGGCCAGAGAUGGUCUUUCCCUUUGUGGUUGGUGUACAGGUGGUGCAUGGUUGUCGUCAGCUCGUGUCGUGAGAUGUUGGGUUAAGUCCCGCAACGAGCGCAACCCUUGUCUUAUGUUGCCAGCAAUUCGGUUGGGGACUCGUGAGAGACUGCCGGGGUUAACUCGGAGGAAGGUGGGGAUGACGUCAAAUCAUCAUGCCCCUUAUGUCCAGGGCUUCACACAUGCUACAAUGGUCGGUACAACGCGUCUGCGAGCCUGUGAGGGUGAGCUAAUCGCUGUAAAGCCGGUCGUAGUUCGGAUUGGGGUCUGCAACUCGACCCCAUGAAGUCGGAGUCGCUAGUAAUCGCAGAUCAGCAACGCUGCGGUGAAUACGUUCCCGGGCCU
rnacentral:rRNA from 1 species